GGGAGUCUUUCCCUGAGGAUCGGGGGAGAAUGCGCCAUCGUAGGAUUUCUGGGAUUUGUUACGCUAAACAAACUCAACUACCGAGAGAGAGGAUCCAGGAUUACUUUUUUUCUUCCCUACUCUCAUGUGAUUAUGGUAGGGGCAUUUACGUCCAAAACCAACGAAAGUUCCUUUUCCAGGCCAUGCGUUAAUAUUGGUGCAAAAAA
rnacentral:lncRNA from 1 species